AAACUGUCAUUUAAACCCUCUGCUGCGACGACACUGUUUGGCGGAGCAUCUUCUACUUCACCCUCGCUAUUUCGUGGAGCAUCCUCUGCUUCACUCUAUCUAACCCUCGUUGGCCCUCCUACUCCCUCAGCGCAGCGCGCGCUCUUUCUUGCAAACCCUCAUUAAAGGGUGACCGUAGCUGAAGAGGUCCUCAAGCUCUGCAAUGGCAGCGUCAUUUCUCCCAUUGCCUGCAUUGCUUGCCCUAACCUAUAUGCUUAUCUCAAGAACAUGGAUUCUAAUGUUCCUGCACAACUUUUUGAGUAUGACAAACGUUUUGAGCAGUACGGAUGUGAUUACACAUUUUAUAACAACAAUCACCCUGAGGCCUGAGGAGUUACCGCUGGAGUUGAAGCAUUCCUUCAAAAUAGUAGUGGCAGAUCCUCCUUACUUGUGUACUAAAUCAGUAGCCGAAUGAAGAGAAGGCUGAAUGGAUUAUAUAUGUCACAGAUGUUGGGCAGCAGCAACACUUUGAUAUGGUAUUCAAGUGCUGAUCAACUCUUGCCAUUGCUGCUGAGAAAAGAAGGCCGCCAAGUCCAGAGACGCCAACUUCGAGGUGAAAGUCGCUUUCUAAACUGUCCUUUAGAAACAUGAUGGUAGGUGUUAAUUUUCAUGUCUUGCAUGAUUGAUUUCUCUAAUACUAGUUUAGUUUAUUACUUAUUCCUUCUAUUUGUUUGCAGUUAGAUACAUUGAUUUCUCUAAACGAGUUUGGAUUUUGUAUUUUCUUGAUUCGGUUAAACAAUGACAAAUGGCACAGCAUUUGGAGCUUCUCAAGGCAGUAAACUGAAAUAUCUGUUAUUAGUAGCUUAUUAUGUAAUCAAAUAAUAAACUGACAAAAGGCAGAGGACUUUUAAUUUCCACUAACAAACAUUUGAUUCAAUUGCUUAAUAACAAACUAAAAUCAAGUCUAGUUUAAAACCAUGUUAAAUUUACUUAAGAAGAACUUGACAGUGAAGCUUAUAUUUCUUAGGUAGCAAAUAAAUGAAUUUCAUACGUACAAUAUUUCAAUCUUAGUUUUAGGAAAUAAUUAAUUUUAGUUCUUUGUUAAUAAUUUCUUGUUUUGGGGAUGUGAUGCAUCAGUGCUAUUAGAUGAUACAUCAACUUUUACUGGAGAAAUGACAGCAGGUCCUAAUGCUAAUUCUAUUAGAGGUUUUGAAGUCAUAGAUACCAUAAAAUCCCAAGUAAAGAGCUUGUGCCCUGGUGUUGUGUUUUUGUGCUGAUAUUCUUGCUAUUGCCGCUAGAGAUUUUGUUGUUGCUAUUCUUGCCAAGUGCGAAGUUCCUUAGCCCUGGUGUCAGCGUCAAAGAUUGCUGAAAAGGCUGGAUGUUGUUUAGGAGUUAGAUUAGAUUUUUUUUUAGUAUAAAGUUGUUAAUUCUUUUAAAUGUUUAUUUUGGAAGUUGAA